GACGAACGCUGGCGGCGUGCCUAAUACAUGCAAGUAGAACGCUGAAGGAGGAGCUUGCUUCUCUGGAUGAGUUGCGAACGGGUGAGUAACGCGUAGGUAACCUGCCUGGUAGUGGGGGAUAACUAUUGGAAACGAUAGCUAAUACCGCAUAAUAGCAGUUGUUGCAUGAUAACUGUUUGAAAGGUGCAAUUGCACCGCUGCCAGAUGGACCUGCGUUGUAUUAGCUAGUUGGUGGGGUAACGGCUCACCAAGGCGACGAUACAUAGCCGACCUGAGAGGGUGAUCGGCCACACUGGGACUGAGACACGGCCCAGACUCCUACGGGAGGCAGCAGUAGGGAAUCUUCGGCAAUGGACGGAAGUCUGACCGAGCAACGCCGCGUGAGUGAAGAAGGUUUUCGGAUCGUAAAGCUCUGUUGUAAGAGAAGAACGAGUGUGAGAGUGGAAAGUUCACACUGUGACGGUAUCUUACCAGAAAGGGACGGCUAACUACGUG
rnacentral:rRNA from 1 species